CUCCAUUCAGCAGCAGACCAUCAUUGAUCAGAAUCAUGUGGCUUGGUGUCACCAUGUGCUCUUAAAGGGACACUCAGGUCAAAUACAAUUUUCAUGAUUCAGAUACAGCAUGUCAUUUUAAACAACUUUCCAAUUUACUUCCAUUAAAAAAAAUGUGCACAUUCUUUUAUAUUUGCACUUAUUGAGUAACGAGCUCCUACUGAGCAUGUGCAAGAAUUCACUGACUAUACGUAUAUGCAUUUGUGAUUGGCUGAUUGCUAUCACAUGGUACAGGGGGAGUGGAAAUAUAUAUAACUUUGAAAUUUGUUAGAAAAAAAUCUACUACUUAUUUGAAAUUCAGAGUAAAUGCUAUUGUAUUGUCUUGUUAUCUUGCAUUUGUUGAUUAUGCAAAUGUACUGUGUUGACUGGUCCUUUAAUGUUAUUCUAAUUAUUGUAUAAUGUUAUGCUAUUUCUUGCAUAUAUUUUGGUUCCUGUGUACUGGAGUGAACCAGCUGGUGGGCUCAGAUAUACCAGCCUGCUCAACUUGCACUGCAUUAUAGUGCGCAUUGUAUGUGAGUAUUCAAUCUCAGUGGGGAUUUAUUACUGGGAGCAUUGUUCCUUUAAAAGAGACCAUCUGCACUAUUGGAGUGUUUUUCUCUCCCCCCCCAUUUUCUCUCCUACUACUACAGAGCUGAAGGUACAUUGGAUCCUAUGUGAGUUAGCUGGUGGGCUCUGAUUAAUCCAGCCUGUUGGAAUAGCACUGCAUUAUAGUGCUCUCUCUUUAAUGAUCAUCUGUAUUUAAAAAGAGCUGACCUUGGUGACCGUCUACCAUCAACGAUAGCCUAUGGAGGGCGCCUUUGUCCUUUGCUACCUUCAUUUGUAUGGUUAUCAUUUGGUGACUUUAUUUUAUAAUAUUUCUAUUAGCUGCACCUGUUUAUCCUCAGAACGUUUAUCCCACUGAUCUGUGACUGAUUCUUGUUGUUAGUAAAGACCUUAGUAAGUAAAAUCUGCACCUUCAGCUGCUGCUGUUUAUGUCACAUGAUCACAGACCUAAAGGGACAGUGUCCUGUAAAUUUGGUUUUCGUUUAGAGACGUUAAACACUAAGGGCUAGAUUACAAGUGGAGCGCUAAUUUAACAUGCUGCUGUAAGCAGGCAAAUUCACCUGUAUACUGGCGCACGUUAAAUAACCAGUCAUUACAAGUGGCUGGUUAAUGCUACUAUAAGCUCGCAGUAGCAAUAAGCUCUCUGAAAAUUAACCAGGGGUCAGACCGCAAAAUAUAAUGUAGUGUGUAAUGAAUAUAUCCUAAUGGUUUCUUCCAGUUGUUGCUGUUUAUAUUUGUUGCAGUUCAUAUAUUCUAACACUAGGGACAAGCAUGAGGUAUAACAGUGAAAUGGGUGUGUUAUCUUCAGUUAAUAAAAAGUUCUUGAAGUUGAACAAUGGUGCA